UACGUAGGGUGCAGGCGUUAAUCGGAAUUACUGGGCGUAAAGCGUGCGCAGGCGGUUUGCUAAGACAUGUGUGAAAUCCCCGGGCUUAACCUGGGAACUGCGCUUGUUACUGGCAGGCUUGAGUGUGGCAGAGGGGGGUGGAAUUCCACGUGUAGCAGUGAAAUGCGUAGAGAUGUGGAGGAACACCGAUGGCGAAGGCAGCCCCCUGGGCUAACACUGACGCUCAUGCACGAAAGCGUGGGGAGCAAACAGG
rnacentral:rRNA from 1 species